rnacentral:lncRNA from 1 species
GGCUCAGUGGUUAACAAAUCUGUCUAGUAUUCAUGGUUUGAUCCCUGGCCUCACUCAGUGGGUUAAGGAUCCGGCGUUGCCAUGAGCUGUGGUGUAGGUCACAGACAUGGCUCGGAUCUUUCCCGCUGGCCUAUACCACAGCCACAGCAAUGCCAGAUGUGAGCUGUGUCUGCAAGCUACACCUCAGCUCACAGCAAUGUGGAUCCUUAACCCAUAACGAGUCAGUAAACUUAAAGUUACAUCAACAGAAAUUAUUCAGUCUGUACUGUGGAGAGAAAACAGAUUUUUUUAUAAGCAAAUAAGGGCGUAAGAACCUGUAGGAUGACAGCACAGGUGUUCUGGAAGAUAGGAGAGUGCAGUAUGAAGAAAUAAUGCCUGAAAAUGUCACAAGUUCAGCAAAAAACCAUAAACCUACAGAUUCAAGAAGCGGAGUGAAUCCUGAAUAGGAUAAAGCUAAAGAAAUCCAUGAACAGACAAAUAAAGUAUUUAAAUUAAAUACUAAAUACAAACUGCUGAAAACUAAAUAUAUUUUAAGAAAAAAAUCUUGAAAGAAGCCAAAGAAAAAUAAUGCAAUACCUCCAUGUGAACAAUUCAAAUGAUGGCAGAUUUUUCAACAGAAACCAUAGAGUCCAGAGGGAAGUGGCCCAAUAUUUUUAUUUAUUUAAAAAAACUUUUUUUUUUUUUUUCUUUUCCAGGCUGUCCCCGCCACAUAUGGAAGUUCCCAGGCUAGGGGUCGAAUCAGAGCUGCAGCUGCCAGCCUACACCACAGCCACGCAACACCAGAUCGGAGCAGCAUCUGCAGCCUGCACCACAGCUCAUAGCAACACCGGAUCCUUGACCCACUGAGCAAGGUCAGAGAUCAAACCCACAUCCUCAUGGAUACUAGUCGGGUUCAUUUUCUCCAAGCCACAAUGGGAACUCCCCGAUAUUUUUAAAGUGCUGAAAGAAAAGCACUGUCAGCCCAGAAUUCUAUAUUCACUGAAAAGAUCUUUCAGGAAUGAAAGUGAAACAAAGACACCCCCAGAUUAAGUAAAGCUAAGAAAAUUCAUGGCUCUACAGAACUGCUCUGUAAGAAUUGCUAAAGGAAAGGCUUCAGACAAAACGGAACUGAACAGAAGGAAGUUCGGAACAUCAGGAAUAAAGGAGGAAAAACAGAAAUGAUAAGUGUCUGGGUAAAUAUAGGCUAUUCUCCUCUUGAGGGCUCUAAAAUACGUUUGACAGUUGAAAGGGAAAAAAGUAACAUUAUUGACGGAAUGUUCUCUCUUUCUUUUUGUUUUUGUUUUGUUUUGUUUUGUUUUGUUUUUUGUCUUUUUAGGGCCGCACCCGUGGCAUACGGAGGUUCCCAGGCUAGGGGUCCGAUCAGAGCUACAGCUGCCAGCCUACACCACAGUCAUAACAAUGCCAGAUCUGAGCCACAUCUGCUACCCACAACACAGCUCAUGGCAAUGUCAGAUCCUUAACCCACUGAGUGGGCCAGGGAUGGAACCCUGAUCCUCAUGAAUGCUAGUCAGGUUCCUUAACCGCUGAGCCAUGUAGGAAACUCUUACAACUCAAUGUUUUGUUUUGUUUUUUAAAUCCCAAACAACCCAAUUAAAAAAUGGGCGGAAGGUCUGAAUAGACAUUUUUCCAAAGGAGACAUACAAAUGGCCAACAGGAACAUGAAAAGAUGCUCAACAUUGCUAAUCAUCAGAGAAAUGCAAAUCAAAACCACAAUGAAAUAUCACCUCACACUUGUCAGAAUGGCUAUCAUCAAAAAGACCAAAAAUAACAAAGUUUGAGGAGGAUGUGGAGAAAGGGGUAUCCUAGUUACAUUGUUGGUGGGAAUGUAAAUUGAUGCAGCUACUGUGGAAAAUAAGAUGAGGAUUCCUCAGAGAACUAAAAAUAGAACUACUAUAUGAUUGAGCAAUUCCACUCCUAGAAAUGUAUCUGGAGAAAAUGAAAGCCCUAAUUUGAAAAGAUACAUGCACCCCAAUGUUUAUAGCAGCAUUAUUUACAAUAGCCAAGAUAUGGAAGCAACCUAAGUGUCCAUCAACAGAUGAAUGGAUAAAGAAGAGGUGGUAUGUAUAGAUAAUGGAAUAUUACAGCCAUCAAAAAAUGAAAUUUACAAGAAUUUAUAAGGAUAUAUUGUACAACACAGUAGAAAUAGCCAACAUUUUACAACAGGUUUAAAUGGAGUAUAGUCUAUCAAAAUCUUGAAUCACUAUGUUGUACACCUGAAACUAAUAUAAUAUUGUAAAUCAAAUAUACUUCAAAUUAAACAAAUAAUAAAAUGAGUUUGUUGUAGACCACAUAUGUUUUUUCUCCAUUCUGCCAAGCUCUAUUUUUGAUUGGACAGUUUAAUUCAUUUGCAGGUAGAGUCAUUACUGAUAUAGAGCAAUGUACUUUCGUCAUUUUCCCAUUUGCUUUCCAUGGAUCUUUAUGGCUUUUUAGUCUCUCAUUUCCAUAUUACAUUACAUUUUUUCGUGGGUAGUUGAAUUUUUGAUAAUGAAAAACUUAUAUUUCUUUCUCAUUUCUCUUUGUGUAUAUUCCAUAGCUAUGUUCUUUGUGGUUACAAUGGGAAUUACAUUUGACAUUCGAAAGUUCUUACACUCCAAUUUGAAUUUACAAGAGUUUAACUUCAACCACAUACAAAACCUCUCCUCUGUUACAGCUCUCUGUUCCUACCCCCUUUUGGCUGUCAAUGUCAUAAAAUCACAUCUUUAUACAUUGUUUAUACAUUAUACAUUGUUUAUACAUUGUUUAUACAUAGUUUAUACAUAAACUAAUAAUUCUUUCUUACAUUUUAGCACCACACCUGUGGGCAUAUAGAAGUUCCUGGGCUAGGGGUUGAAUCAAAGCUACAGCUGCCAGCCUACACUGCAGCCACUGCAAUGCCAGAUCCAAGCCGUAUCUGGGACCUAUGCCCCAGUUUGUGGAAUGCUGGAUCCUUAAUCCACUGAGUGAGGCCAGGGGCUGAAUCCCCAUCCUCCUGGAUAUUAGUCAGGUUCUUAACCCACCGAGCCACAACGGGAACUCCAAGCUAAUAAUUCUUUUAAAUGCAUUAGUCUCUUAAAUUAUGUAGGCAACGAAAUGUGGGGAGAGGCUUGCAACAAUGAAGGGAGGCCGCCUGCCUCUUUGUCUACACCUCUAUGACCAGAAGCAGCAAUCCGUGAUCAGGGCGCAGAUCCUCCAUAUUUGGAGGACAAGGUGUUUUUUGGUCCACCCUGGUCCUACAGGCUGAAUGCAAGCUGCUCCAAGAACAGAUGCACAGCUGCCUGCCACAGGGCUGAGGCUGGAGGAUGGGGAGCCGCUACUGUGCUGAGAGCUGAAAUUUACUAAAAUUAGCCACGAUGUACCAUCCAAACCUUCCCUUGGAAGUUGUCAGCCUUCAGUAGGCUCCAGAGUUCCAAAAUAGUUACAUCAGACAGAUCCUGCCAGUACAAUCGUUGUCCAGAUGGGGAGACAGACAGAUUCCUGGGGUUUCAUACUCCACCAUCUUCCAAGAAUCCUCCUGAUGUUUCUUUUGGGGGCAUGAAAAUGUUCUAAAAUUGAUUAGAGUGGUGAUUGUAGAUAUCCGUGAAUAUACUAAAAAUUAUUGACUCGUACACUUUAAACAUGUGAAUUAUAUGAUACAUGAAUUAUAUUACAAUAAAGCUGUUACCAAAAAACAAAAAGAGGGAGUUGCCAUUGUGGCUCAGUGGGUUAAGAACCCAACUAGUAUCCAUGAGGAUGCGGGUUCCAUCCCUGGCCUCGCUCAGGGAAUUAAGGAUCUGGCAUUGCCACAAACUGUGGUGUGGGUCACAGAUGCAGCUUGGGUCUGGAGUGGCUGUGGCUGUGGCUGUGGCUGCCAGCCACAGCUUCGAUUCAACCCCUAGCCUGGGAAUUUCCAUGUGUUGAAAGUGUGGCCCUGAAAAGAAAAAAAGAAAGUGUUGCUCUUUCCAUUAGGGAAGUAGUUCGAUGUAAUCAGCCCCUAUCAUCAAACUGGCUGAUCCUCUUGAGAAAGGCGGCAUGCCAGGGGUUCAGUGUUGGUAUCUGCUGCUGGCAGACUGGGCACUUACCAGUGGUAGGAUCCAGAUCAGCCUUGGUGGGUGGAAGUUCUUGCUAAUUCUAUGUACGCCCUCCAUCACUGCCACCUUGGCUACACUGAUAGUGAGCUUACUGGACAAAUCUAGGGUGCACUGGAGAAGGUGGUUGACUGAUGUCCACACAGUGGGCUACCUGAUCUUCCUAAAAAUCUCAUUUUCUGAGAUCCCUCUUUGAUGAACAUUCACAUGGGGCACAAACAUCCUCCCACUCUGUAGAGGUCUCUCCACACACGUCUUCUCCAGACUCUGCAGCAGCCCCUGACCAUCUAGCUGGACCAUUCAUCACAACACAUGAAUUGAUGUAGAGGAUAUUUCCAGACAUCUCUCCUUCCGGUCAAAAUGGACAACCAAGUACAUUGCUCAAAUUUCUGUCUACCAAGAAACUUUCCCAUUGCCUCUAUCCCUCAGAGGUGUCCCAGUGGGGCUGUAAGUGAUUCAGUUGUCCACUUGGGGGUCCUGCCGGCAUGUCCCUCAGAACCAUAUGUAAACUAGGUCUGAGUUUUCUCUUCCUCAGUCAACUGGCCACAGGGCGACUCGCUCUGAGCCAUCUGUGUGGUUUGAGAGAGAGAAGACCAUGAAUCAGGAAUAAGGGAUCUGGAAUGGAUUAAGAAGAUGUGUUGAAGUUCCCGUGGUGGCGCAGUGGUUAAUGAAUCCGACUGGGAACCAUGAGGUUUCAGGUUCGAUCCCUGGCCUUGCUCAGUGGGUUAAGGAUCCAGCUUUGUGUGUGAGCUGUGGUGCAGGUCACAGACACGGCUCGGAUCUAGCACUGCCAUAGCUCUGGCGUAGGCUGGCAGCAAUAGCUCUGAUUCAGCCCCUAGCCUGGGAACCUCCGUAUGUCACGGGUGCGGCCCUAGAAAAGGCAAAAAGACCAAAAACAAAAAAAA